rnacentral:rRNA from 1 species
AGUUCGAUUCUGGCUCAGAUUGAACGCUGAUGUGGAUGCUUACACAUGCAAGUCGAACGGCAGCACGGACUUCGGUCUGUGGCGAGUGGCGAACGGGUGAGUAAUGUAUCGGAACGUGCCUAGUAGCGAAGGAUAACUACGCGAAAGCGCAGCUACCACUGCACACCCUUCGGGAAAGUUGGGGACCUUUCGGCCUCACAAUUAUUAGAGUACGAUAUCGGAUUAGCUAGUUGGUGGGGUAACGGCUCACCAAGGCGACGAUCCGUAGCUGGUUUGAGGACGACCAGCCACACUGGGAUUGAGACACGGCCCAGACUCCUACGGAGGCAGUGGGGAAUUUGGAUAAUGGGGGAAACCCUGAUCCAGCCAUCCCGCGUGUGUGCGAUGAAGGCCUCGCUGUAAAGCACUUUGGCAGGAAGAAAACGGCACGGAUACCCCGUGCAACUGACGGUACCUGCAGAAUAAGCACCGAGCAACUACGCCAGUAGCCGCGGUAAUACGUAGGGUGCAAGCGUUAAUCGAACGGUUUGGAAGUAAAGCGUGCGCAGGCGGUUCGGAAAGAAAGAUGAACCAGAGCUUAACUUUGAACUGCAUUUUUAACUACCGGAGCUAGGAGUGUGUCAGAGGGAGGUGGAAUUCCGCGUGUAGCAGUGAAAUGCGAGAUAUGGAGAACACCACGGCGAAGGCAAUGGGAUAACACUGGCGCUUCAUGCACGAAAGCGUGGGGAGCAAACAGGAUUAGAUAAUUCUGGUAGUCCACGCUCUAAACGAUGUCAACUAGCUGUUGGGGCCUCGCACUGGUAGCGCAGCUAACGCGGUGAAGUUGACCGCCUGGGGAGUACGGUCGCAAGAUUAAAACUCAAAGGAAUUGACGGGGACCUGCACAAGGUGGAUGAGGGAUUAAUUGAUGCAACGCGAAAACCUACCUACCCUGACAUGUCUGGAAUCCCGAAGAGAUUUGGGAGUGCUCGCAAGAGAACCGGAACACAGGUGCUGCAUGGCUGUCGUCAGCUCGUGUCGGAGAUGUUGGGUUAAGUCCCGCACGAGCGCAACCCUUUUGUCAUUAGUUGCUACGAAAUACACCUAAUGACUGCCGGUGACAACCGGAGGAAGGUGGGGAUGACGUCAAGUCCUCAUGGCCCUUAUGGUAGGCUUCACACGUCAUACAAUGGUCGGGACAGAGGGUCGCCAACUCCGCGAGUGGGGAGCCAAUCCCAGAACCCGAUCGUAGUCCGGAUCGCAGUCUGCAACUCGACUGCGUGAAGUCGGAAUCGCUGUAAUCGCGGGACGCAAUGUCGCGGUGAAUACGUUCCCGGGUCUUGUACACACCGCCCGUCACACCAUGGGAGUGGGGCUUUACCAGAAGUAGUUAGCUCAACCGCGAGGGCGAUUACCACGGCAGGAUUCAUGACUGGGGUGGUCAAUGAAGGUAA